rnacentral:rRNA from 1 species
AGGACGAACGCUGGCGGCGUGCUUAACACAUGCAAGUCGAGCGGAAAGGCCCUUCGGGGUACUCGAGCGGCGAACGGGUGAGUAACACGUGAGCAACCUGCCCUUAGCUCCGGGAUAGCUCCGGGAAACCGGAAUUAAUACCGGAUAUGACCUAGGCCGACAUCGGCUGUGGUGGAAAGUUUUUCGGCUGGGGAUGGACUCGCGGCCUAUCAGCUUGUUGGUGGGGUAAUGGCCUACCAAGGCGACGACGGGUAGCCGGCCUGAGAGGGCGACCGGCCACACUGGGACUGAGACACGGCCCAGACUCCUACGGGAGGCAGCAGUGGGGAAUCUUGCGCAAUGGGCGAAAGCCUGACGCAGCGACGCCGCGUGGGGGAUGAAGGCCUUCGGGUUGUAAACCCUUUCAGCAGGGACGAAGCGAAAGUGACGGUACCUGCAGAAGAAGCGCCGGCUAACUACGCGCCAGCAGCCGC